rnacentral:lncRNA from 1 species
ACUUCAGGAAGCAGGCGACUUCCUCCUCUAUGGCUAUCCAAGCCUCAUAUCUCCUUUCCUUUUGGCAGCCUUGAGGGCCCCAGCCUUCUCCCCGUGUCCGAGUGGACGAGUCAUCGAAGCUGUGAUUCCCACAGACCCAAGCGUGGAUGCUACUCGAAGGAGUAACUUUUCAUCAACAGCCAAGCGGCCAGAGGAGAGAAAGGAUGUAUACAUUUGUCUGGUUUUAUGGGAUUGUGGAGACCUGACUUGGAGCUACUGGCAGACAGACGUGAGAAUUGGUACCUAAAGUUAAGCAUGACUCAAGCACACAGAUCAAAUGUUUGCUUCUUUGCUUAUUGCUUGACCCAGAAGGAAGACAGAGGGAGUACGGAAUACAAGGACAACUUCAAGGUUUCCAUUAGCUUCUCUCCAAGAGUAAACACCCAGGCUUGAUUUUACAAAACAAAUAUUUCUGAAUGAGACUGGCAGGAUGUCCCUUCUUUGGCCAGAAUGUGGAGGAGCUUGUAACUCAAGGAAAAGGGAAAGCAGCACAGCAUGAGGAAGUGUUUCAUCCUGGGGCAAUAAAGCUCAUUCCUCAUUGUCUAUAUUUUCUCUAUAGUUUCUCUGCGAUUUGAGGAGAGGAAAUUCUUUUAAAAUGGAUGAUGUUUUCCCAUCAACCUCAGAAAAGAUGGUGGGUGAUUGGGUAGAGAAAGGAAGGAGGGAGAAGGGGGUCAGUUUUAUCUAAUUAGAAAAAAAAACAACAUAAAUCAAAGUACUGUAUAGAUUCCUGUCAUUAAUGCAUAGUGGGUCUAUUUUUUGUUCCAACCUUUUAUUGGGGGAGUAUUUUCUUUUUAAGUCAGAGGAAUUUGAGACUUGGCAAAAAGUACCUUUGGGUUUUGUUUUGUUUUUUUUUUCUUGGUAGUGAAGCAAAUAUCAUUUUAAUGUUAAACAAUCUCGCAGGAAACAGCAGGAUGGUUCCUUUGUGAGUCCCUUCUUUUCCUCUCGUGGGGCUCCCCACUUCAGAUCAAUUAGGGCUCCAGCAUCUUUGGGGAAGGGUUAUCACAGAGUGUCACAGGCUCAAACGUUGUCUUUUCAUGCCAUCCAAGCAAGUCUAACAGUUACAAAUCCUUAACUUCUUAAAGGACGUUAUGGGAAUUCCCGGGUUUCUUUUUAAGGUGGGAAGAAGCCAAGUUUUUUUUUUUUUUUCACAAGUAUGAAGUUUAAAAGAAUCAAGGAAUGAGACAAGAGCUUCUGAUGAGAGGGGACCCCGCCUUAACUGCUAGCCAGCAGCAAGGCUUCAGGGUGGAGAGGGGUGAGAAGUCCUAGCUGUACCCACCCCAGAAGUCUGUAGAGCAUCAGGGAAGGCAGCCCGGGCCUGACAAAGGUCUCUGAGUGACAAACAGAUGAAAAUUUCCAGCAGGAUUGUCCAGAAGACAAAUUUCUUUGAGUGGUUCCUGGGUUCGUUUCAGCAGGAUCUAGGACCUCGGGGAACCAGUUUACACACACACACACACACACACACACACACACACACACACACACUGGUAAGAACCAGUAGCCC